rnacentral:rRNA from 1 species
AUAAGCGCACACGGUGGAUGCCUUGGCGGUCAGAGGCGAUGAAGGACGUGGCAGCCUGCGAAAAGUAUCGGGGAGCUGGCAACAAGCUUUGAUCCGGUAAUGUCCGAAUGGGGAAACCCACCCGCUUGCGGGUAUCCUGCAGUGAAUACAUAGCUGCUGGAAGCGAACCUGGUGAACUGAAAUAUCUAAGUAACCAGAGGAAAAGAAAUCAACCGAGAUUCCGUAAGUAGCGACGAGCGAACGCGGACUAGCCCUUAAGCUGAUUUGGUUCUAGGAAAACGCUCUGGAAAGAGCGGCCAUAGAAGGUGAUAGCCCUGUAUCUGAAAGGGCCAUUUCAGUGAAGACGAGUAGGGCGGGGCACGUGAAACCCUGUCUGAACAUGGGGGGACCAUCCUCCAAGGCUAAAUACUACUGACCGACCGAUAGUGAACCAGUACCGUGAGGGAAAGGCGAAAAGAACCCCGGAGAGGGGAGUGAAAUAGAACCUGAAACCGUGUGCGUACAAGCAGUAGGAGCUCCGCAAGGAGUGACUGCGUACCUUUUGUAUAAUGGGUCAGCGACUUACUGUUCGUGGCAAGCUUAACCGUAUAGGGGAGGCGAAGGGAAACCGAGUCUGAUAAGGGCGCAUAGUCGCGGGCAGUAGACCCGAAACCGGGUGAUCUAGUCAUGCCCAGGGUGAAGGUGCGGUAACACGCACUGGAGGCCCGAACCCACUCCCGUUGCAAAGGUAGGGGAUGAGGUGUGAUUAGGAGUGAAAAGCUAAUCGAACCCGGAGAUAGCUGGUUCUCCUCGAAAGCUAUUUAGGUAGCGCCUCAUAUGUAUCCUCUCGGGGGUAGAGCACUGUUAUGGCUAGGGGGUCAUCGCGACUUACCAAACCAUUGCAAACUCCGAAUACCGAGACGGACUGUAUGGGAGACACACGGCGGGUGCUAACGUCCGUCGUGAAAAGGGAAACAACCCAGACCCACAGCUAAGGUCCCAAAUUCACUGCUAAGUGGAAAACCAUGUGGAAAGGCACAGACAGCCAGGAGGUUGGCUUAGAAGCAGCCACCCUUUAAAGAAAGCGUAAUAGCUCACUGGUCGAGUCGGUCUGCGGGGAAGAUUUAACGGGGCUAAGCAGUGAACCGAAGCUUGGGGUGCAUAACUUUGUUAUGCGCGGUAGAGGAGCGUUCCGUAAGCCGUUGAAGGUGGAUUGAGAAGUCUGCUGGAGGUAUCGGAAGUGCGAAUGCUGACAUGAGUAACGAUAAUGCGGGUGAAAAACCCGCACGCCGAAAGCCCAAGGUUUCCUUGCGCAACGUUAAUCGGCGCAGGGUGAGUCGGCCCCUAAGGCGAGGACGAAAGUCGUAGUCGAUGGGAAGCAGGUUAAUAUUCCUGCACCUCGCGUAAGUGCGAUGGAGGGACGGAGAAGGUUAGGUGUACCAGGCGUUGGUUGUCCUGGGGAAAGGCGGUAGGUUUGGGUCUUUGGCAAAUCCGGGAUCCUUUAAGACCGAGCACCGAGACGAGCCUUUAAGGCGAAGUCACUGAUACCACGCUUCCAGGAAAAGCUCCUAAGCUUCAGCUUACGCAGACCGUACCGUAAACCGACACAGGUGGGUAGGAUGAGAAUUCUCAGGCGCUUGAGAGAACUCGGGUGAAGGAACUAGGCAACAUGGCACCGUAACUUCGGGAGAAGGUGCACCCUUUUUGGUGGCUCGUGCGAGCUAUAGCUGAAGAGGGUCGCAGUAACCAGGCCGCUGCGACUGUUUAUCAAAAACACAGCACUCUGCAAACACGAAAGUGGACGUAUAGGGUGUGACGCCUGCCCGGUGCUGGAAGGUUAAUUGAUGGGGUCAGCCGCAAGGCGAAGCUCUUGAUCGAAGCCCCAGUAAACGGCGGCCGUAACUAUAACGGUCCUAAGGUAGCGAAAUUCCUUGUCGGGUAAGUUCCGACCUGCACGAAUGGCGUAACGACAGCGGCGCUGUCUCCACCCGAGACUCAGUGAAAUUGAAAUCGCUGUGAAGAUGCAGCGUUCCCGUGGCAAGACGGAAAGACCCCGUGAACCUUUACUAUAGCUUUACACUGAACGUUGAGUUCGUCUGUGUAGGAUAGGUGGGAGGCUAUGAAACUGUGGCGCUAGCUGCAGUGGAGCCAUCCUUGAAAUACCACCCUGUCGUGCUUGACGUUCUAACCUGGGCCCAUUAUCUGGGUCGGGGACCGUGUAUGGUGGGUAGUUUGACUGGGGCGGUCUCCUCCUAAAGAGUAACGGAGGAGCUCGAAGGUACGCUCAGCGCGGUCGGACAUCGCGCACUGUGUGCAAAGGCAUAAGCGUGCUUGACUGCAAGAUCGACGGAUCAAGCAGGUAGGAAACUAGGACUUAGUGAUCCGGUGGUUCUGUAUGGAAGGGCCAUCGCUCAACGGAUAAAAGGUACUCCGGGGAUAACAGGCUGAUACCGCCCAAGAGUUCAUAUCGACGGCGGUGUUUGGCACCUCGAUGUCGGCUCAUCACAUCCUGGGGCUGUAGUCGGUCCCAAGGGUAUGGCUGUUCGCCAUUUAAAGUGGUACGCGAGCUGGGUUCAGAACGUCGUGAGACAGUUCGGUCCCUAUCUGCCAUGGGCGUUGGAGAUUUGAGAGGGGCUGCUCCUAGUACGAGAGGACCGGAGUGGACGAACCUCUGGUGUUCCGGUUGUCACGCCAGUGGCAUUGCCGGGUAGCUAUGUUCGGAAGCGAUAACCGCUGAAAGCAUCUAAGCGGGAAGCGCGCCUCAAGAUGAGAUCUCCCGGGGCACAAGCCCCCUGAAGGAACCAUGUAGACUACGUGGUUGAUAGGUCAGGUGUGUAAGUACAGCAAUGUAUUGAGCUAACUGAUACUAAUGAUCCGUGCGGCUUGACC